GGAUGCGAUCAUACCAGCACUAAAGCACCGGAUCCCAUCAGAACUCCGAAGUUAAGAACUCCGAAGUUAAGCGUGCUUGGGCGAGAGUAGUACUAGGAUAGUACUAGGAUGGGUGACCUCCUGGGAAGUCCUCGUGUUGCAUCCC
rnacentral:rRNA from 1 species